rnacentral:tRNA from 4 species
UGGGGUAUCGCCAAGUCCGGUUAAGGCAGUGGAUUCUGAAUCCACCAUUCGUAGGUUCGAAUCCUACUACCCCUGCCA